rnacentral:rRNA from 1 species
UACGGAGGGUGCGAGCGUUGUCCGGAAUCAUUGGGCGUAAAGGGCGCGUAGGUGGCCUGGCAAGCGUGCGGUGAAAGCUCGGGGCUCAACCCCGAGUCGGCCGUGCGAACUGCUAUGGCUCGAGCACUGUAGAGGCAGGCGGAAUUCCGGGUGUAGCGGUGGAAUGCGUAGAGAUCCGGAAGAACACCGGUGGCGAAGGCGGGUCUCUGGGCCGAUACUGACGCUGAGGAGCGAAAGCGUGGGGGAGCAAACAGG